rnacentral:rRNA from 1 species
GUGGGGAAUUUUGGACAAUGGGCGCAAGCCUGAUCCAGCAAUGCCGCGUGCAGGAAGAAGGCCUUCGGGUUGUAAACUGCUUUUGUACGGAACGAAACGGUCCUGGUUAAUACCUGGGGCUAAUGACGGUACCGUAAGAAUAAGCACCGGCUAACUACGUGCCAGCAGCCGCGGUAAUACGUAGGGUGCAAGCGGUAAUCGGAAUUACUGGGCGCAAAGCGUGCGCAGGCGGGUUUGUAAGACAGGCGUGAAAUCCCCGGGCUCAACCUGGGAAUUGCGCUUGUGACUGCAAGGCUGGAGUGCGGCAGAGGGGGAUGGAAUUCCGCGUGUAGCAGUGAAAUGCGUAGAUAUGCGGAGGAACACCGAUGGCGAAGGCAAUCCCCUGGGCCUGCACUGACGCUCAUGCACGAAAGCGUGGGGAGCAAACAGGAUUAGAAACCCCGGGUAGUCC